rnacentral:rRNA from 1 species
GACGAACCGUGCGAACGUUGUUCGGAAUCACUGGGCUUAAAGGGCGCGUAGGCGGCUCAUCAAGUCCGGGGUGAAAGCCCCCAGCUCAACUGGGGAAGUGCCUCGGAUACUGGUGAGCUCGAGGGAGGUAGGGGCGGAUGGAACUUCCGGUGGAGCGGUGAAAUGCGUUGAUAUCGGAAGGAACGCCGGUGGCGAAAGCGAUCCGCUGGCCCUCUACUGACGCUGAGGCGCGAAAGCCAGGGGAGCAAACGGG